AUGAUGACUCUCGAUAAUGGAUAUCUCGACUCUUGCAUCGAUGAAGAACGUAGUGAAAUGCGAUACCUGGUGUGAAUUGCAGAAUCUCGUGAACCAUCGAGUCUUUGAAUGCAAGUUGCCCUCGAGGCCAUCCGACUGAGGGCACGCCUGCCUGGGCAUCACGC
rnacentral:rRNA from 1 species